UUACAGAUGGGGAUACUGAGGCCCAGUGUUCCUGUCAUCUAUUACUGUAACAAACUAUCAUCGAAUUCAAAUGCUUAAGACAGCAACAAUUGAAGCUUUGCGUACAAAGAAAUGUUUUGUUACACUUGACCCUUGAACAACAAGACGGGGAACCAAAGGAAGCAUCUGUAAGGACCAGCUGUACAAAUGGGUGCCUGUUCAAUGGGAUUGCUUGUCUAAACUGUGAAAUAGAAUAAUUGAUUGAAAUCGAGAGUUACUUUUGGCUAAG
rnacentral:lncRNA from 10 species